rnacentral:rRNA from 1 species
AGGAUUCCCCUAGUAACUGCGAGUGAAGCGGGAAAAGCUCAAAUUUAAAAUCUGGUGGUCCUUGUGGCUGUCCGAGUUGUAAUCUAGAGAAGUGUUAUCCGCGCUGAACCGUGUACAAGUCUCCUGGAAUGGAGCGUCAUAGAGGGUGAGAAUCCCGUCUUUGACACGGACUGCCAGGGCUUUGUGAUGCACUCUCAAAGAGUCGAGUUGUUUGGGAAUGCAGCUCAAAAUGGGUGGUAAAUUCCAUCUAAAGCUAAAUAUUGGCGAGAGACCGAUAGCGAACAAGUACCGUGAGGGAAAGAUGAAAAGAACUUUGGAAAGAGAGUUAAACAGUACGUGAAAUUGUUGAAAGGGAAACGCUUGAAGUCAGUCGCGUUGGCCAGGGAUCAACCUUGCUUUUUUGCUGGGCGUAUUUUCUGGUUGACGGGUCAGCAUCAAUUUUGACUGUUGGAUAAAGGUUGAGGAAAUGUGGCAUCUUUGGAUGUGUUAUAGUCCUUGAUUGCAUACAACAGUUGGGAUUGAGGAACUCAGCACGCCGAAAGGCUGGGUGUUUACACUACAUACGUGCUUAGGAUGCUGGCAUAAUGGCUUUAAUCGACCCGUCUUGAAACACGGACCAAGGAGUCUAACAUGCCUGCGAGUAUUUGGGUGGAAAACCCAGAUGCGCAAUGAAAGUGAUAGUUGAGAUCCCUGUCGUGGGGAGCAUCGACGCCCGGACUUGAAGUUUACUGACGGUUCCGCGGUAGAGCAUGUAUGUUGGGACCCGAAAGAUGGUGAACUAUGCCUGAAUAGGGUGAAGCCAGAGGAAACUCUGGUGGAGGCUCGUAGCGAUUCUGACGUGCAAAUCGAUCGUCAAAUUUGGGUAUAGGGGCGAAAGACUAAUCGA